AAGAGCUGCUUCGAUUUGCUUUGCAUCUGCUCAGCUGUCUUAGAUGUUUCAAUGCAAAAAGUUAUUCUCAGCCAUCGUAUUUCUUCUGUACUCAGGAUGCUGGAGAAGCUGAAAGACAACUAGAGCCCUGGAAACUCAGAUUAAGAUGAUUGCUGCCAACAAAUACAUCAACAGUGACAGCUGGGAGCUCUCCAGUGUACUAUACCAAUUUACAGGGUGGCAGGCAUUCAGACUCAAUUCUCCAAAAAAUACUCUAUUGCAAGACUGUUGAUAAGUACAGAGAAGAAUAUG